rnacentral:rRNA from 1 species
ACGAACGCUGGCGGCGUGCCUAAUACAUGCAAGUAGAACGCACAGUUUAUACCGUAGCUUGCUACACCAUAGACUGUGAGUUGCGAACGGGUGAGUAACGCGUAGGUAACCUGCCUGGUAGCGGGGGAUAACUAUUGGAAACGAUAGCUAAUACCGCAUAAUAUUGAUUAUUGCAUGAUAAUUGAUUGAAAGAUGCUAUUGCAUCACUACCAGAUGGACCUGCGUUGUAUUAGCUAGUAGGUGAGGUAACGGCUCACCUAGGCGACGAUACAUAGCCGACCUGAGAGGGUGAGCGGCCACACUGGGACUGAGACACGGCCCAGACUCCUACGGGAGGCAGCAGUAGGGAAUCUUCGGCAAUGGACGAAAGUCUGACCGAGCAACGCCGCGUGAGUGAAGAAGGUUUUCGGAUCGUAAAGCUCUGUUGUAAGAGAAGAACGGGUGUGAGAGUGGAAAGUUCACACUGUGACGGUAUCUUACCAGAAAGGGACGGCUAACUACGUG